rnacentral:tRNA from 1 species
ACCUGGCUGGCUCAGUCAGUAGAGCAUGUGACAGUUAAUCUCAGGGUUGUGAGUUCAAGCCCCAUGUUGGGCA